UACGUAGGGUGCAAGCGUUGUCCGGAAUUAUUGGGCUUAAAGAGCUCGUAGGCGGUCUGUCGCGUCUGCUGUGAAAACUCAGGGCUUAACCCUGAGCUUGCAGUGGGUACGGGCAGACUAGAGUGCGGUAGGGGAGACUGGAAUUCCUGGUGUAGCGGUGAAAUGCGCAGAUAUCAGGAGGAACACCGGUGGCGAAGGCGGGUCUCCUGGGCCGUAACUGACG
rnacentral:rRNA from 1 species